rnacentral:pre_miRNA from 1 species
UGGACAGAUUAUUGUAUUCGACUGUAUUCAUGGCGUGAAAUAGGGGAUUACACUAUUUUUAAACGGAAAGUGAAUCCAUUAACAUAAUCGACUUCU